GCAUAUCAAUAAGCGGAGGAAAAGAAACUAACAAGGAUUCCCCUAGUAACUGCGAGUGAAGCGGGAAAAGCUCAAAUUUAAAAUCUGGCGGGUUUCCCCGUCCGAGUUGUAAUCUGGAGAAGCGUUUUCCGUGUCGGACCGUGUACAAGUCCCUUGGAAUGGGGCGUCAUAGAGGGUGAGAAUCCCGUUUAUGACACGGACUCCCGAUGCUCUGUGAUACGCUCUCGAAGAGUCGAGUUGUUUGGGAAUGCAGCUCAAAAUGGGUGGUAAAUUCCAUCUAAAGCUAAAUAUUGGCGAGAGACCGAUAGCGAACAAGUACCGUGAGGGAAAGAUGAAAAGCACUUUGGAAAGAGAGUUAAACAGUACGUGAAAUUGUUGAAAGGGAAACGCUUGGAGUCAGUCGCGUCUGUCGAGACUCAGCCUUGCUUUGGCUUGGUGUAUUUCUCGGUGGACGGGCCAACAUCGAUUUUGAACAACGGACAAAGGUUUGGGAAAUGUGGCACCUCCGGGUGUGUUAUAGUCCCUUUUCGUAUACGUUGUUUGGGAUCGAGGACCGCAGCAUGCCUUUUGGCCGGGGCUUUGCCCACGUAACAUGCUUAGGAUGUUGGCAUAAUGGCUUUAAGCGACCCGUCUUGAAACACGGACCAAGGAGUCUAACAUGCCCGCGAGUGUUAGGGUGUAAAACCCUUGCGCGUAAUGAAAGUGAAAGUUGGGACCUCUGUCAAAGGAGGGCACCGACGCCCGGCCCUGAACUCUUGUGACGGUGCUGCGGUAGAGCGUGUAUGCUAGGACCCGAAAGAUGGUGAACUAUGCCUGAAUAGGGCGAAGCCAGAGGAAACUCUGGUGGAGGCUCGUAGCGAUUCUGACGUGCAAAUCGAUCGUCAAAUUUGGGGUAUAGGGGGCGAAAGACUAAUCGAACCAUCUAGUAGCUGGUUCCUGCCGA
rnacentral:rRNA from 1 species